rnacentral:rRNA from 1 species
ACGGGUGAGUAACGCGUGGGAAUCUGCCCUUUAGUGAGGAAUACCUUCGAGAAAUCGGAGUUAAUACUGCAUACGUCCCUUCGUAAGAAGGGAGAAAGAUGGCCUCUUUGCUGUCGCUAAAGGAUGAGCCUGCGUACUAUUAGCUAGUUGGUAGGGUAAUGGCCUACCAAGGCGAUGAUGGUUAGCCGGCCUGAGAGGGUGAUCGGCCACAUUGGAACUGAGACACGGUCCAGACUCCUACGGGAGGCAGCAGUGAGGAAUAUUGCGCAAUGGGCGAAAGCCUGACGCAGCGACACCGCGUGAAGGAUGAAGGCUUUAGGGUCGUAAACUUCUGUUAAGUGGGAAGAAAAGCCUGGUCCUAAUACGACUAGGAAAUGACGGUACCACUAGAGAAAGCACCGGCUAACUUCGUGCCAGCAGCCGCGGUAAGACGAGGGGUGCAAACGUUAUUCGGAAUGAUUGGGCGUAAAGGGUGCGUAGGCGGCUUAUUAAGUCAACUGUUAAAUUUCUCAGCUUAACUGAGAGUGUGCGGUAGAAACUGGUAAGCUUGAGGAUGGAAGAGAGAAGUAGAAUUCUCGGAGUAGCGGUAAAAUGCGUAGA